GACGAACGCUGGCGGCGUGCUUAACACAUGCAAGUCGAACGGAAAGGCCCCUUUGGGGGUACUCGAGUGGCUAACGGGUGAGUAACACGUGCGUAACCUGCCCUUGACUUCGGGAUAACUUCAGGCAACUGGGGCUAAUACCGGAUAGGAAUCCUUGCUGCCUGGAGGGGGUUGGAAAGCUUCGGCGGGUUUGGAUGGACUCGCGGCUUAUCAGCUUGUUGGUGGGGUAGUGGCUUACCAAGGCUUUGAUGGGUAGCCGGCCUGGGAGGGCGACCGGCCAACUUGGGACUGAGAUACGGCCCAGACUCCUACGGGAGGCAGCAGUGGGGAAUAUUGCACAAUGGGCGGAAGCCUGAUGCAGCAACGCCGCGUGCGGGAUGACGGCCUUCGGGUUGUAAACCGCUUUCAGCAGGGGAGAAGCUUGUGGUGACGGUACCUGCAGAAGAAGCACCGGCUAACUACGUG
rnacentral:rRNA from 1 species